UAUUUUUGUAUUUUAUUGUGUUGUAAGCCGCCCCGAGGCUUCGGCAAGGGGCGGCAUAGAAAUGUUCUAAUAAAUAAAAUAAAUAAAUAUUGUGUUCAAGAGUCACAAUGCCUUGUGGCUCCUUAAAACUCAUAAAUGUACUGUGGCACAAUAAGCUUUCAUAGACUACUGUACAGAAAGUUAUUUUGAAAGAUGUUUUUCAUGAAAUUGGAGAAAAAGGCACUUGCUUAAAUACAAAUGUAAGAACACCCUCUUGGACUAGCUGGCUUUUUGCUCAUAUGUGCUUCCCUGCUGCUGCCUCUUUUGAAUCUUUCUACCUGAUGCCCCCCACCCCGAAUGGGGCCUCCUCUUCUCUGCAUCCAUUUUCUUUUUUUACAAAAAGUAGUGUCCAUAUUCUACACACACACUUACUUUAGACCCUGAGGCAUCUGCUGCAGAUAGGUAAUUCAGGAUUUCAUGAAAAAGGAAAUUAUUCAUUAUUUAAUUUAUUAAUUGAUUUUAUAUUUCCAUUGCUGGAGAAGAGGAGAGGUAUUUCUAAGAUUUAUUGCCUCAGGGAACAAAACAACUUGAUUGACUUUGAGUACUACUGUGCACCAGGAUGGGUCCUGUGGAUGGAAGCACUAUCUGUUCCUCUGUCUCAGGUAGAAAACUGUAUUUGAACCAACCCUCAGGCAUCAGUGUAGAGACUUGUACAACUGGGCAUUCAAGGAGAUCUGUGGAUGGCAAAACAUGUUCAGAAUUGCAUCAAAUUCACUAAACAUGUUUGCUUAGAAGUAAAUUCAGUGAAAUCUGUUCCUGAAUGAUGAAUGUGUAUGUAGGAUAGGAGUUCUUAUAAAUGUUCUCAGAACUGCAGAGUGCCUUAUCCACCCUGAAUAUUGUUCCAAUAUCUGACUUUAGAUAUAAAUCUGAGGACUGAUAACUUUGAUAAUUUAAAAAACAAGAAAUCAGACAUUAAAUCAAGCAUGCUGGUUUAUGAGUUAUAACACUCCAACGUCUACAACUGGGCAAUACUUUUAUUGGGAAUUGUUGCUGGUUCUAAGAAAGACAUCCAAUUAUGCAUUUGGGUACUUGAAGUGGUAUAUGAUUCUAGCAGUUGCGAGAACUUAAUAUUGAAAUAUCUGAUGUAGAGUUUAGGAUUUCAAGAAAUUAGAGCUCAGGAAAAGUAAAAAAUGAGUUCUGGAAUCAAAGGCUCUAUAAAAAUAAGGUAUUUAAAAUAAAAUGAGUAGUCCCCUUUGGCAGCUAUUGUCUCUGCUUCCUCACCUGGUCUGGACACCAAGAGCAACCAAAAACAAAAAAUCCCUCUAGCGUUGAGGUUUUUGUUCAGUGCUUGAUAGUGAAGUGGAGUGGAUAGAAGACUGAAUAAUGAUUUACUCAGAAGUAAUGUCCACUAAAUUUAAUGGGGGUUACUCCCUAGUAAUUAUGUUAAAUUUGAAAACUUAGAGCCAUAGUUUAUUAUUCUCUGCAGUAUAUUCUCACAUGCUCCAGUGUGUCAUGUUCAGUUUGCAAUCAGUAAAUGUUUAAGAAGCCCUGAAGCUCUUGUCUGGUCCCAGGCACUCCAUCCUUUCUAUCUGAAUUUGAGCCUGAAAGAUCAAGGAAAUGUGUGGGUAUGUGAAGAAGGGUGAAUGGCCAACACGAAGAAAGCCAUGUUUUGAUAUCACAAGCAAACAUUCAACUGUAUUAGGUCUGAAGUUCUGAACUUUAGCUUAAUGUCUAUGGAAGUGUUUUGGACUGGGAGUCAUGGCUAGCAAUUCUCCAAGAGACAUCUUAAUGUAUAUUAUUCACUCCAGAUCCAAACUUUUUGUUAAGUUUGCAUUUCACCUAGAUUCAUUGUAUGUUCAUUGAAAAGUGUUUUUCAUAAUAUACCAAAACAAUUAUGUCAAUCUUUGUUUUUUUCAUCAAUUCCUGUUUUCUGUAACUGGAGAAUUUCUAGACUAACAUGAGAAAGAAGUCUUACAAAAAGAAGCAUGUUUGUUUUUUGUAUUUAAUUUACAUUCCCCUUUCAAAACAACAAAGAAAAAUGUGUGAUACAGAUGAAUCGACUCUUGUAGACAGUAUAAAAUGUCCAUGAGAGAAUCACAUUAUCCGCUAAUUAGGUUUAUCCCAUACAAGCAUGUAAUCUCAUUUUUAGUGGAACUAAAGGGAAAAUAGUCAUGUAGAAAUGGUUGCCAUAUUAUAGUUAUUCUAACUUUCUUGAAACAAGCUGAAAUAAAUACUUUGCAUUUCAUAUGAUGUUCUUAAUUUUAAAUUGUGCAGCUGAACAACCAUCUGAGGGGGUGGUUUAAUUUGGAGUCCUGCAUUGAGCAGGGAUGGACCCAAUACCUUCUUGGCCCCUACUGUUCUAUGGCUCUAUGAAAUAUUUUAAAAUUCUUUUCUGAUAUUUUAUGUGUGUUUUGAAUAAUGUUAUAAGUUCUUAGUACAUUAAAAAAAGUCAUUUAUAUAGUAAAAUGCCUCUAGAAUCUUUCAAUUGCUUUAUUUUUAAGAAACAAUAUUCUAUUGUAAGAUAAAGAGUCUUCAAUCUUUUUGGAAUGUUAUGAGAGUGUUGUGGACACUCUCACAAAAUGGCUGCUGUGGGAGUUUUCCUAGUCAUAAAAUGACUGCCAUGGUGGACAUAGCACAAAAUACUCGUUUCCAAGAAUACAAACUGAUAACUUACCCACGAACCAAAGUGCAAGGGAAAAAAUGAGGGUGAGCUCCAGAAUACAAAAACAGUCUCUUCACAGAAGACAAUCUAAUGGUGUACAGAAACAGGUAAACAAGACCAAAUGCUAAAUCACAUAUUUUCCCCAAAGUACUCAUUUCACAGAACAGAAACUAGUGAUACUCGGGGAACUAGAUGCACCACAGAGCCAUGUGCACAACCCAGACAAAACAAACCCACAGAAGAAAACAUACUGUGCCAAAACAAACCAAGUCACACACACGGGGCAAAACCCCCACACACAGCACAAGCAAAAUACCCCCAUGCUUUCCACAAUGCUGUCUAGAUGCCCAGGACAUGGCUUACCUCUUCCAGUCUGCCUUUUUGUUCUUUCUGGGAGGCUGAGCACAUUCCAGGAUGAACUAGUGAGCUGCGGGCACCUACCACUUUUGUCUUGGAAGAAUGCCUUUGCAAACUGAGUUGCACACAGAAAUAAAUACGGUAAUGAAGAGCAGUUCAUCACCUUGGUGUAUGACUGCCUUUAAAUGGGGAAAAACAUUGAAAAACUUUAGGAUGUGCAGUUCUUCUUUUUGUUCCUAAACUUGCUGCUAAUCAGAGGAUAAGGGAAAGCAAGGCAGAGAGGAGGAUGGAAGAGGAAAUGGUGAGGCUAGAGGCUAGGAGAGAGAGAAAUAGAAGGUAAAGAGGUAGGUGGGAAAGAAGGAAUGAGACUAGGGGCUAAGAAGGGAAAAAAGAAAAAAGCUAUGGACAUGGGGGAUAAAUAGUGAGAAAGAAAUAGGGAAAGACUGGGGGAAAGAAAUAGGCAGAGACUAGGAAUGAAAAGGAAAAUGAAAAAGGGGAAAUGGUCUGUGCGGAUGAAUGUAGGUUGGGUGGAACCGUAUGCAACUCCUUUCAUUUCCCUCUCCUAGCUUCUAGCCUCGAUAUUUCUCUUCCCCCAACUCUUGACUAGCUAGGCCUCUAUGGAAGCUACAAAGUAAUAAGGCAUAUCCUCCAUGGGGCUCACAGCAAUUUCUCAAAAUGGCACGUGUCCAGAAAAGUUGGAAGGCCUUGUCCUACAGGAACAAUUUUAGUAUCAUUGAAAUGAAAAUGCUGCCACAAUGUCAUAAAGCUAUAUGGCUUUUUCUUCAGAACCACACCAAGGCUUUGUUGCUCUCCUAUUUUUAUACUGGUUCUCUAAUGUCUUGAUAGACUAUAAACUCAUUCUGAAGGUCAAAUGGAGCUUACCACAAGUAUGUUAUGAUCAAAUGCCAUCCUGACUAUAAAGAAGAUAAUCUGCCUAGGUUACCUCUCUUAAUUUUGUCACAUAGUAUGUCAGUGGCUUUAGCUUACAUGAUAAAAGUGUGAUAUGCUGGUCUACCUGCAGCUGCAGGAACAACUAGCAGAGUGCUGUUGGAAGGAAGAAAGCUGUGUUUAAUGAUCUUUUGUGUAGAAAAAAAGAGUUUCUGGAAUGGGGGAACUCUGCACAGAGUGUACCUUCUCCACCUGGGCAACCCUGUUCACUGUCCCUCCUGGCAACAUUUUCAGCAUAAUAAUAUAUAUUUUUAAGUAUUUACCUGGUGAAUGUGUAACUCAGUCCUUCAGGGACAAUGUACCCAGCAUGAUGGCAUCACUGUGUCACAUGGCCAGUCAUAUGUAGCACCGUAGCAGCAUCUCUGAAAGCAAUCAAAUCCUUUACAGGGCCUCACAUCACUCUCUUUUCCAAGUAUCCGGUGGCAUAUGAUGGGGCUUUUCCAUAUUAAUUUUUAUUGGGCUCUGGUAGUAUUAGCACUGAUUUUUUAUAUUAACAUGUUUUAUUAUACAUUAUUACAUUGUGAACUGCCAGGAACAUUUUAGCUGUUGGAUGGUCUGUAACUAUAAUUGUGUGUGUGUUUGUGUAAUCAAGUAGAAAGACUUCACAUCUGAGUUUAGCCAGCUCACACUUGCAGAUCUCCUUAGCUCGAUCAGGUCACCUGAAUGACCAUGCUAUGCUGGUGGUCACACUGCUUGCUGUAAUUGAAAAAGCCUCCUUCUUGCUUCUGCCCACAUAUCACUGAAAAAGGAAGGCUCUUUUCCAAGUUCAUGAUCCACUCCAGCCAGAAAGGGAAAGAUCUACCACUGUCAAUUUUGUUCUUCAUUCUCCAUCAUGGUUUGAAGCGAGCUAUGUUGUACUUGUUAAAUGUUGUCUGUUCUGUUGAACUUUUGACCUUGGAGUAUGGGUACCAAGGAACCCACAAAUCCCAAUGAAGUCUCUUAAAUAUUCAGCAAAUCAGAAAUGUGAUACAACAUUGAUCCCUUGUUAUAGAAAUCCUAUCUCAAGUUAUUGAAAUUUCUAAGGUUGUUUGGAGUACAAUGUACUACUUUGCUGAAAUGGUUGUCUGUAGCAGAAUAUAAGAGUAAAGAUACCAGGCCAGGUAUCCCAAUAAAAUAUUGAAAUAUGUUCACUUCUCCAGUAAAUAUGAAUUCAUUAAUUUCUCUUUGUACAUUCCAAUCACUUUCACAGACAUCCUUGGCUGACAAAGUCAGUAUCAUAACCCUAUUGUAAAUACAAACUUCUGCAGUAGAGUAAAUAGUAAGAUUAACCUUUCCUAGAGAUAACUUGUAGUUCUCAAAACAGCAGUGACAUUCCAGGGCACUUAAAAACAUGCAAUGACUAGCUAUUAAGGCUAUGCUAUUCACUGUGCUGUCCUUCCAGUGAAAUUGCAAGGGGAAACUGGUGGUUUCCUAGUUUUACUAAAAUAUGAAAAUAAAUAAAAACAUGUUUGCCAAUUUUCAUAUAGCAAAAGGUAGAGGCCUACAUGGUAUUAACAUUAAUUUUGAUAAUAUUGAAUAUAUGUAAUUUUAUAUAUUUAUAUGCUUAAUUCAUUUCUUUAUCAUUCAGUACUGAUAUAGAAAUUCACAACAAAUAAUGAAAUACAAAAGAUAAAUUAAAAAUACAAAUGCAAUUAAGUACAGUAUAAAAUUCUAGUACAUAAAUUAAAACAGCUAAAAAUCUGUAACAGUAAAGUACAGUUUAACAUUUAAAACAUUUUCAUUAAAACCUAGACCAAAUUUAAAAUACCAGACAGAACCUAUCAUAUGCCAAUUAAAUACCAUUAAAUUCCUGGAAAUAGAGGGUAGUUUUAACCUGGUGCCAGGUGGACCUCAGUAGGGAAAUCCAUAAUUGGGGGCCCAUGACUGAAAAGGCCCUUCUCAUUGCCUCUUCCUGGGUCUCCCUUGAAGGUGGUAAUUGGAGAAGAUGUUGAUAAUAGGGUCCAGGUAUAUAGAGGUUGGGAGAGGUAUUCCAUCAGUUAUUGAGGUCCCAAGCUGUAUAGGGCUUUAUAAAUUAAAACCACCUUGAAUUAAGUGGCCAAUGCAAGCAGGCCUGAGUUGGUGUUAUUAGACUUUUUGCACAAGCUGCAGCUUCCAGUCUUCAAGGGCAGUUCCACACAGUGUGUAUCAGUAUUCUCACUUGGAAUUCACCAAAUCAUAGAUUAAUGAAAUUAUAUUAUCCUUGUCCAGAUAAUCUAUGUCUUGGUGGCAUAGCUAGGUCACCAGCUGAAUGCGGUAGAAGCCACUCUGUGCCACUGAGGACAGCUGAGCCCCAGGUAGAUCACAAGCUGGAUCCAGGACCACCUCUGGACUACAAAUCUGCUCCUUUAAGGGGAUUGCAAUCCCAUCCAGAACAGAUUGAGCACCCACCCUGACUAUAUACAGAUUGCAGAAGUAUCCACCCUCUUCUGACUUUUCCACAUUUGCAAAAUGUGGUAUGUUUGUUGUGCUACUGCCUCAAACUGAAAUGGAUUUAAUUGACUUUGUUACUGCUUGAUAUUCAACAGUGUGAAGGUUCAAAAUAUUUGUAUUGUGGCAUGAAACUACAGUCAACAAAACCAAACUGUCACUUCUGGUUGCCUAAGUAUUUACCCACCCCCCACCAGGUUAAUACUUGAUAGAAGUACAUUGGACGGCAGUUAUAGCUAUGAGGCUUCUUGGGGGGGGGGGGGUUAGCUUUGCACAUCUGGAUACUGCAGUGUUUGACAUUCUUCAUGGAAAAAAUGGUUCCAGUACUGUCAUUUGGAUUGGGACUGUUGCUGAACAACAACAUUCAACAUGGAUAGAGGUCUAGGUUUUGACUGGACCAAUCUGAGGCAUUCAGGAUCCUGUUUUUAGACUGCUAAAGUGUCUGUGUGUUCAGGAUCAUUGUCCUGCUGGAAGGUGAACCUCCACACUGGUUCCAGAUCCCUUGCAGACUAGAUCAGGUUUUCCUCUACUGUGUUUCCUAUAAUUGGCUUCAUCUCUCUUGUCCUUAAUCCCGACUAGUUCCCACCUCUUGCCAAGGAGAAUCUCCCACCACAUGAUGCUGCCACUGCCAUUCUUCACCAUAGACAUUAAUCACUACUGACUUUCCAUCACAAAUAGCAUUUUCCAUCAAGGCAAAAAAGUUCAAUUUUGGCCUAUCAGACCAGAGAACCAAUUUCCAGAUGUACUGUGUCUCUCAUACUCCAUUUAGCAAAUUCCAAUAGUACUGUGAUAUUGGGUUUGUUUAGCAAUGGCUUUCUUCACAUGUCACAGCAAAUUAAGGGUGUGUGAAUGCUUAUGCAACCAACAAAUGCCAGAUUGUUUUUGCUUAUUUAACUGUUAUACCACAAUAAAAAAUAUUUUGCACCUUUACAAUGUCGUGUAUCAAUGCACAUUAAUGUAUAACAACGCCAAUUAAAUCUAUUUCAAUUGAAGGUAUGAACACCAUAAAAUAUGGAAAAGUCAAAGGGAGUUAAUACUUUUGCAAGGUACUAUAAGUACCUGAACUACAAGAAAUAAAGUAAAAGGUCAAGUGAAUAUUGCUAUAUCCAAUUGAAUCUGAAAGAGGAAUAGAUGAAAUUAAAAAAAUGUAAUUGAACUUACACACUGAAAGAAGUCUCAACAGCAGACCAGAGUUUGGACCCAAAAUUACACUGGAUCAAUUGCAUGGGUGGGACUUCCGUCACCCGUCCAGUUCUAUGAAAAUGCAGCAGAGUUCAAGGAUGGGUGAACUAUGGUGUAUGCAGGAAAUGGAAUACCCCAAAAUUGUGUAAAAAGACCCUCUGUGAACACAGCCCUUCUUUAUAUGGAAAGCCUAUCCUGUAUCCAUCCUGUGUCAAUCCAUUAUGGGAAAAAUCCAAAGAAAAAGUAAGGUAAUUAUUAUGACCUACUGGAAUAUCUGAGGUCACUUAUAGGAGUAUUGCCUGUUUAUUUUGGAUUUUUUCUAGUGAUACCCUUUAUUGCCAAGAUCACAUGGCCAAAGAAGACAAUUCUGAUGAUCACUCAGAAUUUCUAUGGCACUGUAUUUUGUAUAGUAUUUGAAACACAGGGUGAAGCCCCUUAAUAUCUCCCAAGAACACUGAAAAGUCUUAACUGUCUGCACCUGCAAGGAUCUUUUGAAAUCAAAUUUAAACCUUAUAUUUUCUUUCCCGUUCUGCAUUUCCUCUUUAAAUGUGCACUGGUGAAAUCCAUUUAUCACAAAGUAUGUCUUUUAUAGACUUUGUACUAGAGACUUAAGCUCUUUAUUUACUGUAUCUGGAGGCCUCAGUAAGCUAAGAAUUCUACAGUAUUUUACAUUUAUUUGUUGAAGCUGUAGCUUAGGAUCAGGUAGCAGCUGAGUCACAUAAGGUUAUUCAAAUGCAUCUAAAAUGUUGCUUAAUAAUUCAGAACCAGUUUGCUCUGUUUAGAGUAUUAUGGAUUUUAAAAUCCCUUUAAUUAGUCAAUUCCAACAGCAGUUUAAAUAAACAAAGAGAGAGGAAAUCUAUUUCUCUAUCUUCAACUUCAAAACUGUAGUUAAAAUAAAUUUUAUCUUACUGAAAGAGUACAGUUCGUUCAGCCAAGAAAAGGAUUUCAUUUGAUUUAGGACCAGAUUGUGUCUGGUGACCUCAUGAUAGAUGAUGGCUUAAGAACCCUUCUGGCCUCAUCCUUCUUCCCUUUUUUUGGCUUUAAUUUUAACCAAAAAUUUAAUCAAAGUGGCAGAUGUCGAUAUUGUGGGUAUAUGUCUGGUACUAGAGACAGGAGCUUGAGGUGGAAAGGAACAAAACACUAUGUUGCAACGUUUUAUUACCUUAUUAUGUAUAAGAAUGGUGAGUUGUUGGUUUAGCACAUGGUUCCUGUAGACCAUAAUUCCACAGCAGUAAUCCAGAUGCCAGUGGAAGCUCACAGGUAGGAUAUGAUGAUAAGAGCUGUCUCCUGUGGUUUGUUCUCCACCUUCUGAUUCUUUGAUUAUGUAUGUUGUUUUGCAGUAGGAAGAUUCAAUUUUGCCUUUGCAGUUGAUCAAGCUAAGUUUAUUAUUUAUUUAUUUAUUUAUUUAUUUAUUAAAACAUUUUUAUGCCGCCCCAUUCGCCGAAGCCUUGGGGCGGCUUACAAGUUGUGGCUGAUAGAUAUAAUUACUUUGACUGAUUCUUUUAAAGAAAUCCAUCUGUGAUAAUAAUCAAAAUAACUUUCGUGCUUCUAAGUGCCAUACAUUUAUGAAGAUUGCAAGCUAAUGGUUUUUGGCGGGAAAAAGCUCUGCUCCCCCUUCCCCAUAGUCUAUAAAAAGUGGAGCGUCCGCCAUUUUGUUCAGCCUUUGCGACCGCUGUUUGUUGUGCCUCGUGCUGCUUUCACUCUCGCUCUGACCGUUGCUCGUCUAGCCUGUUCUUCUUCUCGAUUGUUCUCCCAGUUGUUAUAGCCCCAGUAUUUCUUCUAGUUCUUGUUAGUUCCUCUACUUUGUAUAGUUCUUGUAGUUUUUCUCUAUCAUUCUACCUUUCUUUCGAUCUUC